GAGGGUGGUUCUUCACAACUCACCUUAGAAACAAGAGAGAGAGAGCUAGUGGUCACCUUAACUUUCCAAAUAACUUCACCAAUCACCUCAAAAUCACUAAGUGGAGGGGUUUUAUGGAGUAAUUGCAAGAUCAAAUGGUUGGAUGGUUCAACUUGAGCAAGAUUGGAGCCUAAAACUUGAAGAGUUUUCUUUCUUUCUUGAGAGAGAGGGUCGGCCAAGCUUGCAGAAAUUUGGGUGCUUUUUGG
rnacentral:lncRNA from 1 species